CAAAAAGAAAUAACAAAGAAACUUAUUUCUUUACAAUUAUCAGAAGAAAAAGAUAUGGAAACCUUUGAUUCCCGUCUGUACGAGGACGAAUAUGACGAUGCUUAUGAUGACGUAUUCAUAGAAAAUUUGUCUGCCCCAACAACUUUUCUACAAACUUUUACCGGCGAAGAAACUUUUGAUAAUCCUAUAAUUGGAGAAAGAAGUUUUUC